GACGAACGCUGGCGGCGUGCUUAACACAUGCAAGUCGAACGGAAAGGCCCCUUUGGGGGUACUUGAGUGGCGAACGGGUGAGUAACACGUGAGUAACCUGCCCUUGACUUCGGGAUAACUUCAGGAAACUGGGGCUAAUACCGGAUAGGAAUCCUUGCUGCAUGGUGGGGGUUGGAAAGCUUCGGCGGUUUUGGAUGGACUCGCGGCUUAUCUGCUUGUUGGUGGGGUAGUGGCUUACAAAGGAUUUGAUGGGUAGCCGGCCUGAGAGGGGGACCGGCCACAGUGGGAAGGAGUGCGGCCCGAGACUCUAACGGGAGGCAGCGGGGGGGAAUAUGCCAAAAGGGGGGGAGGCCGGUGGCAGCAACGCCGGGGGGGGAAUGCCGGCUUGUGGUUGGAAACCCGUUUCAGCAGGGGACGAAGCGGGAGUGACGGUACCGGGAAAAGAAGCACCGGCUAACUACGUG
rnacentral:rRNA from 1 species